UACGAAGGGGGCUAGCGUUGCUCGGAAUCACUGGGCGUAAAGGGUGCGUAGGCGGGUCUUUAAGUCAGGGGUGAAAUCCUGGAGCUCAACUCCAGAACUGCCUUUGAUACUGAGGAUCUUGAGUCGGGAGAGGUGAGUGGAACUGCGAGUGUAGAGGUGAAAUUCGUAGAUAUUCGCAAGAACACCAGUGGCGAAGGCGGCUCACUGGCCCGGUACUGACGCUGAGGCACGAAAGCGUGGGGAGCAAACAGG
rnacentral:rRNA from 1 species